GCGCUCUCAGUUGCAGCCAGACGUCUGAACCGCGCGGUACUACGGUCGUGUUCGACUGACGACGGUGUGUGAAGGGUUUUGUGUGUGUGUGUGUGUGUUCACGCCGAUCGUUACGCCUCCGUUGAAGUUUUUGGGGGUCGUUACUGUGGGGAUCAGCGUUGCGUUUUUGUGUGGUGCAACAGUGUGAGGUGCGAUCCGUUUCAGGUGAAAAAUUAAAGGAAAGGUGCCGACAAAAGUGUUCUGAUCUGUGUUUGAUGGUGUGUUAGGGUUGAAAACACAACAAAAUCGGUGUAAUUCGAGUUUGAAGGAGAUUUUUCAACAUCCGGAGGAGUUCUUGCCGAUUAUCGCCAUCAAAACAAAAAAGCAGUGAACGCCGUUUGGCAUCGAAGCUGAAACGCAUUCGUAGCUCAGCUGUAGUGGAAGCGACUUCAACGGAUCAUAGGUCCGAGCGAGUAGUUCCGUUUAGCUCCAAAUCCAUCGUUGAGAGCUUCUUCGUCGGGUCCAGCACUACAAAUUGCUCUGCCAGUUUUAUUCCUACUACGCCGCGUCCGACUGGAAGACAUGCAUCAUUAUCGUUAAAAGAUAGCCGCAAAGAACAGUAGGGUGCUGGAUUCUGUGUGCCGCAAGACUGCGAAAUAAACGCGCCUAGGAAGAACGAAUUUAUUGCAGAAGUGUCUGUAAAAGACCGACCGUGCCCCCCCGUCUAGGCCAAACCCCGUUAAUCCUCACGCAGCAAAAAUGGUGGACUAUUACAAAAUUCUGGAUGUGUCCAGAACAGCGACAGAGGCUGAAAUAAAAAAAGCGUACAAAAAAUUAGCCCUACGAUGGCAUCCAGACAAAAAUAUGGACAAUCCAGAAGAAUCCAACAGACGGUUUAAGGAAAUUUCAGAAGCCUACGAAGUACUGUCCGAUGCAUACAAACGACACAUCUACGACAGUCGGGGCACGCGGAAAAGUGCAACCGGUACGGGUGGCGGCAGCACCGGCAGCUACACUGCCUUCACCAACCGCGACUACAGCCGCAACGGAGGCUACGACCAUUACCAUCACCAUCGUUACGGGUCGGGCAGUGGCCGGUACUACGGGUCGACCGGUGGCCGGGAGAAUGGCGGUAGCAGCAGUCGUACGUUUUCGUUUAGAGGAUUUUUUGAGACGACGCCGUUUUUCCGCUUCUUUGAAAAGAAACGACGCAUCUACGAUCAGUACGGCAAGGAUGGGCUGAUGAACAAUGGAUCCGAUCGCUACCAUCAGAGCACGCGACACCGCCGGCACAACGGUAGCAGCGGCAUGGACGACUUCGAGUUCUUCGGCUUCCCGUUCACAUUCCGCGACCCAGAGGAUGUGUUCCGAGAGUUUUUCGGUGGAUCACCAUUCGAUGAGUUGUUUAGAAUUAGUCAACCGGUGCACCAGCACGGCCGGCGGGCAAACGGCGCCACCAACGGCCAUCAUCACCAUCAUCAGCGACACUCGCACCCGCAAAACGUCAUCUCGUCACCGUUCAUGACGCCGCUGAUGAGCUUCAGCCUGAUGGAUGACUUCUUCAGCGGGGCACCGCGGGGCGGCAUGAGCUCCGUGUCCGAGUACACCAUCGGUGGGGGCGGUCCCGUCAAGCGUACCUCCACCUCGACCACCUUCAUCAAUGGCAAGAAGCUGAUGACGAAAAAGGUGUACGAGAACGGUACGGAAACCAUCAUGUCCUACGAGAACGAUGUACUAAAAUCAAAGACUGUAAAUGGGGUCGCUCAAGCUAUACCAUACAACCAUUAAUUCGCUGAGAAAUAAUUAGCAGGCUAUCCGACGAGAGGGAAAGAAAAACAAACACAGAGCUAGAGAGAGAGAGAGUGUUGCAGUGUGGCAGAGAUCGAAAGCAGCAGAAUGGAAAAAAUACAAAAAAUCUGUCGAAAAUGAACGUUCCGCGGAAGUGGAUCAUGGGAAGCAACCAGCAGCCGUGUUAUGUAAAGUCACAAAAUUAAUCUCCUUACAGAUAUAGAACGGAUCGGAAAUUAACAAAUAUAUAUUUAAAUGUGGUUUCUAUCCGAAAACAAAAUCCUUCCUCCACCAGGUUUUCCUAGUCCUACCACAACACCCCCCAGUUGUUCCACCAAAUUGGCGAUAAAUCGUUCUGUGUGUGUACGCUGAGAUAGAGAAACAGAGAGGAAAUAGAUGUUGUACAAUGUUGAAAAUUCAAACCCACCAUACACCCAACUCCAACCCUCUCUCAAUUUGCUCGGCGAUUCCGCAGCAGCAGCAUCAUCAUCAGCAUCGACGGCUAAAAUAGAAUCACAGCAGUAUAAUCAGUAACAUAUUCAUGCAAAACCCAAACAAGCAGACACUCACAUCUUAGCUUAAAGAAAGAAAAACAUGAAAGCAAAACAAAAAAGAAACAGUUAACUUAUCAUCAAACAACAACAUGCGAUGGAAAGAAGGGGCAGGAUAUGAACAGAGAGAGAUAAAGAAAAGGUAAAUAUCACAGCGACGACAAAGUCAAACGAAAAACUAACGCAAAGAGCGUAGAAGAAGAUGUAAAAACAGAUACAAAACAAAACCCUACGAAAGAUACUAAAAAUAUGAAAAUAUAACAGAUUUCUGACUUUUGCGAGUUGAUGAAAGCACGUUGAGUAAAAAAAAAGCCCGCAACAUUUAAAAACCCCAAACGUUGCUUGUUGCAAAAUG